GACGAACGCUGGCGGCGUGCUUAACACAUGCAAGUCGAACGGAAAGGCCCUGCUUGCAGGGUACUCGAGUGGCGAACGGGUGAGUAACACGUGGGUGAUCUGCCCUGCACUUCGGGAUAAGCUUGGGAAACUGGGUCUAAUACCGGAUAGGAGCCAUCUUUAGUGUGGUGGUUGGAAAGUUUUUUCGGUGUAGGAUGAGCUCGCGGCCUAUCAGCUUGUUGGUGGGGUAAUGGCCUACCAAGGCGGCGACGGGUAGCCGGCCUGAGAGGGUGUACGGCCACAUUGGGACUGAGAUACGGCCCAGACUCCUACGGGAAGCAGCAGUGGGGAAUAUUGCACAAUGGGCGCAAGCCUGAUGCAGCGACGCCGCGUGGGGGAUGAAGGCCUUCGGGUUGUAAACUCCUUUCGCUAGGGACGAAGCUUUUUGUGACGGUACCUAGAUAAGAAGCACCGGCUAACUACGUG
rnacentral:rRNA from 1 species